UUUUUUUUUCUGGAAUCCUAGAGGAUGCACGGAUACAAUUCACCCAAUGUGUCCAUCUCUCCUCUCCUAAGUGUCAGUCUAUAGGUUUCUGACCUCUAGAGGAAUCCCUGAAGCUGUACAGCUAUACUUUACCGGUUACGUCUAGACUAUAAAGGACCACAGUGUUCCACCUCAGGCAGGUUCAGCGACCUGCAAGUAGUGAUACAGCUGGGAAAGUUACAGAGCCUGCGGGAAGCUCCGGCUGCAACUUCAGUUCUGACCAGAGGUUCUGUGAACCUUCAGGAUUUAGCAGGUUUCCAGGACCGGCUAUAGACAUUCCUAAGAAACACGCAGUCAGCUUUUGGUGAGAGUGGAAUCAAGCUAUGGAAUUCUCAUUUGGAAUCUGCUUCCAGUUUCUGAACAGUGAAGCGGGAGAGUUCUGAACAGUAAAGCAGGAGCUCUGUAUUCAGCGAGACUCUGGGGCCUGGAAAGUGGGAUUACAGCAUCCAUUUUGUCUAAUUGCUUUCCUUCUUUCUUUUAUGUGGCUGCUAAAGCCCCAUGACCUUCACUAUUUAACUGCUUCAUCAGAGUGAAAGAAUUGCCUUGAUGUUCAUAAGGAUUACUUGUUUCACAC
ensembl:lncRNA PDZRN3-AS1 PDZRN3 antisense RNA 1